rnacentral:rRNA from 1 species
UUGGAUAUUUGAAGGGGGCUGCUCCUAGUACGAGAGGACCGGAGUGGACGAACCUCUGGUGUACCGGUUGUGACGCCAGUCGCAUCGCCGGGUAGCUAUGUUCGGAAGAGAUAACCGCUGAAAGCAUCUAAGCGGGAAACUCGCCUUAAGAUGAGAUAUCCCUGGAGGCUUGACCUCCUUGAAGGGUCGUUCGAGACCAGGACGUUGAUAGGUCGGGUGUGUAAGCGCAGUAAUGCGUUCAGCUAACCGAUACUAAUUGCCCGUAAGGCUUGAUCCUAUAACA